UCAGAAAGGCGCCGGAGGGCAUGGCUGCCGUUUUACAGGCUCCUAACCAAUUGUGCCAUUUUGCUUGUAACUUAUUUUGUACAUAAAUGUUUCUGCCACCGUCUCUUAUGACCAAUUCUUAUGACCAAAAAGAGCUUCUGGAUAUCAGAACAGUGACUACUCGCAUCGAGCUAGCUAGAGAAAGAUUUUUUCUUUAAUGAGUCAGAAGUGAAGGAUUUACUGCUGAUACCAGACCAGGCCCAAAUUCGUUGUUCGCAAGAAGAAGAGACGCCGAUACAGGGGACGCAGAUCCGGGGGCCUUGUGAGAAUUUGGCGGCAAGUGGGUAACCCACCUCUACCACCCGUCCUAUUGGCCACCGCGCAAAUACUGGAGAAUAAACUGGAUGAACACCGUUCAAGACUACCCUACCAACAGGACAUUAAAAAUGAAUAUCUUAUGUUUCACCGAGUUGUGGCUGAAUGACGACAUGGAUAAUAUACAGUUGGAUGGGUUUUCUGUGCAUCGGCAAGUCAAAACAGCUACUUCCGACUACAAAAGGAAGCCCAGCUGCGAGCUGCUCAGUGACACAAAUCUACAAGACGAGCUAAAUUGCUUCUAUGCACGCUUCGAUGCAAGCAACACUGAAACAUGCAUUGGAGCACCAGCUGUUCCGGACGACUGUGUGAUCAUGCUCUCCGUAGCUCAUGUGAGUAAGACCUUUAAACAGGUCAACAAUCACAAGGAUGAAGGAUUACCAGGACGUGUACCCAGUGUUGUCACUGAUAUUUUCAACCUGUCCCUGUCUGAGUCUGUUAUACCUACAGUUGAAGUCGGAAGUUUACAUACACCUUAGCCAAACACAUUUAAACUCAGUUUCACAAUUCCUGACAUUUAAUCCUAGUAAAAAGUAAUUGUCUUAGGUCAGUUAGGAUCACCACUUUAUUUUAAGAAUGUGAAAUGUCAGAGUAAUAGUAGAAAGCUUAAAUGUAUUUCAUCACAUUCCCAGUGGGUCAGAAGUUUACACUCAAUUAGUAUUUGGUAGCAUUGCCUUUAAAUUGUAUAACUUGGGUCAAAUGUUUUGGGUAGCCUUCCACAAGUUUCCCACAAUACAUUGGGUGAAUUUUGGGCCAUUCCUCCUGACAGAGCUGGUGUAACCGAAUCAGGUUUGUAGGCCUCCUUGCUCUCACACACUUUUUCAGCUCUGCUCACAAAUUUUCAAUAGGAUUGAGGUCAGGGCUUUGUGAUGGCCACUCCAAUACCUUGACUUUGUUGUCCUUCAGACAUUUUUCCACAACUUUGGAAGUAUGCUUGGGGUCAUUGUCCAUUUGGAAGAACCCUUUGCAACCAAGCUUUAACUUCCUGACUGAUGUCUGAGAUGUUGCUUCAAUAUAUCCACACCAUUUUCAUCCCUCGUGUUGCCAUCUAUUUUGUGAAGGGCACCAGUCCCUCCUGCAGCAAAGCACCCCCACAGCAUGAUGCUGCCACCCCCGUGCUUCACAGUUGGGAUGGUGUUCUUCGGCUUGCAAGCCUCCCACUUCUUCCUCCAAACAUAACGAUGGUCAUUAAGGUCAAACGGUUCCAAUUUUGUUGCAUCAGACCAGAGGAUAUUUCUCCAAAGUAUGAUCUUUGUCCCCAUGUGCAGUUGCAAACCGUAGUCUGGUUUUAUUAAGAUGGUGUAGGAGCUGUGGCUUCUUCCUGGCUGAGUUGGCAUUCAGGUUAUGUCGAUAUAGGACUCGUUUUACUGUGGAUAUAGAUACUUUUGUACCUGUUGUUUCCUCCAGCAUCUUCACAAGGUCCUUUGCGGUUAUUUUGGGACUGAGUUGCACUUUUCGCACCAAAGUACGUUAAUCUCUAGGAGACAGAACGCGUCUCCUUCCUGAGCGGUAUGACGGCUACGUGGUCCCAUGGUGUUUAUACUUGCGUACUAUUGUUUGUACAGAUGAAAGAGAUACCUUCAGGUGUUUGGAAAUUGCUCCCAAGGAUGAACCAGACUUGUGGAGGUCUAGAAUGAUUUUUCCUGAGGUCUUGGCUGAUUUCUUUAGAUUUUCCCAUGAUGUCAAGCAGAAGCACUGAUUUUGAAGGUCGGCCUUGAAAUACAUCCACAGGUAAACCUUCAAUUGACUCAAAUGAUGUUAAUUACCCUGACAGAAGCUUCUAACGCCAUGACUUACUUUUCUGGAAUUUUCCAAGUUGUUUAAAGGCAUAGUCAACAUAGUGUAUGUAAACUUCUGACCCACUGGAAUUGUGAUAAGUGAAAUAAUCUGUCUGUUAACAAUUGUUGGAAAAACCACCCCCAGGUGGUAAGUGUAGGCAACAACACAUAUAUCCUCAACACAGGGGCCCCUCAGGGGUGCGUGCUUAGUUCUCUCCUGUAAUCCCUGAUCACCCACGACUGGGAGUGUGGUGCCAGGACAACAACCUCUCCCUCAACGUGAUCAAGACAAAGGAGAUGAUCGUGGACUACAGGAAAAAGAGGCCAAAGCACGCCCCCAUUUCAUUGACAGGGAUGUAGUGGAGCAGAUCAAGAGCUUCAAGUUCCAAGUUGUCCACAUCAACAAACUAUCAUAGUCCAAAACACACCAAGACAGUCGUGAAGAGGGCACGACAACACCUAUUCCCCCUCAGGAAACUGAAAAGAUUUGGCAUGGGUCCUCAGAUUCUCAAAAAUUGCUACAGCUGCACCAUCGAGAGCAUCCUGACUGGUUGCAUCACUGCCUGGUAUGGUAACUGCUUGGCAUCUGACUGAACGGCGCUACAGAGGGUAGUGCGUAUUGCCCAGUACAUCACUAGGGCCAAGCUUCCUGCCAUCCAGGACUUCUAUACCAGGCGGUGUCAGAGAAAGGCCCUAAAAAUGCCAAAGACUCCAGCCAUUCUAGUCAUAGACUGUUCUCUCUGCUACAGCACGGCAAGCGGUGCCGGAGCACCAAGUCUAGGUCUAAAAGGCUCCUUAACAGCUUCUACCCCCAAGACAAAAGACUGCUGAACAGCUAAUCAAAUGGCUACCUGGACAAUUUGCAUUGAGCCCCUUUUUUUAACACUGCUGCUACUCACUGUUUAUUAUGUAUGCAUAGUCACUUUACCCUUACAUACAUGUACAUAUUACAUCGACUAACCUGUACCCCCACACAUUGACUCAGUACCGGUACACCCUGUAUAUACAGUGGCUUGCGAAAGUAUUCACCCUCCUUGGCAUUUUUCCUAUUUUGUUGCCUUACAACCUGGUAUUAAAAUAGAUUUUUUGGGGGGGGUUGUAUCAUUUGAUUUACAAAACAUACCUACCACUUUGAAGAUGCAAAAUAUUUUGUGAAACAAACAAGAAAUAAGACAACAAAAAUUAACUUGAGCGUGUAUAACUAUUCACCCCCCAAAGUCAAUACUUUGUAGAGCCCCCUUUUGCAGCAAUUACAGCUGCAUGUCUCUAUAAGCUUGGCACAUCUAGCCACUGGGAUUUUUGCACAUUCUUCAAGGCAAAAGUGCUCCAGCUCCUUCAAGUUGGAUGGGUUCCGCUGGUGUACAGCAAUCUUUAAGUCCUACCACAGAUUCUCAACUGGAUUGAGGUCUGGGCUUUGACUAAGCCAUUCCAAGCCAUUUAAAUGUUUCCCCUUAAUGUAAUCCAAGAAACUGAAGAUCUCGUACAACGCUGUGUACUACUCCCUUCACAGAACAACGCACACUUGCUAUAACCAGAAUAGAAAGAGCAGUGGGAGGCCCCGGUGCGCAACUGAGCAAGAGGACAAGUACAUUAGAGUGUCUAGUUUUAGAAACAGACGCCUCAAGUCCUCAACUGGCAGCUUCAUUAAAUAGUACCUACAAAACACCCAUCUCAACAUCAACAGUGAAGAGGCGACUCCGGGAUGCUUUUUUUUUAUGUUGUGCAACGUGGCCUCCCACUCCUCUUUCUAUUCUGGUUAGAGCCAGUUUGCUCUGCUCUGUAAAGGGAGUAGUACACAGCGUUGUACAAGAUCAAAAGUUUCUUGCCAAUUUCUCACAUGGAAUAGCCUUCAUUUCUAAGAACAAGAAUAGACUGACGAGUUUCAGAAGAAAGUCCUUUGUUUCUGGCCAUUUUGAGCCUGUAAUCGAACCCACAAAUGCUGACUCUCCAGAGGCCGGUUUUAUUUCUUCUUUAAAUCAGAACAACAGUUUUCAGCUGUGCUCAUAAUUGCAAAAGGGUUUUCUAAUGAUCAAUUAGCCUUUUAAAAUUAUAAACUUGGAUUAGCUAACACAACGUGCCAUUGGAACAUAGGAGUGAUGGUUGCUGAUAAAUGGGUCUCUGUACGCCUAUGUAGAUAUUCCAUUUAAAAAAAAUACAGUAUAUAUACAGUGGGGCAAAAGGAUAGGAUUUUUAAUGAAUUUAUUUGCAAAUUAUGGUAGAAAAUAGGGUCUUUCAGCGUGACAAUGAUCCCAAACACACCGCCAGGGCAACGAAGGAGUGGCUUCGUAAGAAGCAUUUCAAGGUCCCGGAGGGGCCUAGCCAGUCUCCAGAUCUCAACCCCAUAGAAAAUCUUUGGAGGGAGUUGAAAGUCUGUGUUGCCCAGCAACAGCCCCAAAACAUCACUGCUCUAGAGGAGAUCUGCAUGGCGGAAUGGGACAAAAUACCAGCAACAGUGUGUGAAAACCUUGUGAAGACUUACAGAAAACGUUUGACCUCUGUCAUUGCCAACAACAGGUAUAUAACAAAGUAUUGAGAAACUUUUGUUAUUGACCAAAUACUUAUUUUCCACCAUAAUUUGCAAAUAAAUUCAUUAAAAAUCCUAUAUACAGUGGGGCAAAAAAGUAUUUAGUCAGCCACCAAUUGUGCAAGUUCUCCCACUUAAAAAGAUGAGAGAGGCUUGAAAUUUUCACUUCAACUAUGACAGACAAAAUGAGGGAAAAAAAUCCAGAAAAUCACAUAGUAGGUUUUUUAAGAAUUUUAUGUUAGCAACACAUACCUACUGUAAUGAAUUAGAGUUGGAUCCGUUUAGAUUUGUCUAAUGCUUUACUAGUAAACAUGCGUUUAUUUAAUGGAUUAGCCCAUCAGAGACGAGUAAAUAUAUAAAUCUGACUUCAAAUUGAGUCCAGUGGAGUAAAUAGACUAUUUAUUCUAUUGACAGUGAUACAAUUAGUUCAUAUUUGCAGUACCAUAUUUUAAUAUUUUAGAUUCAUUAUAUUUGUUAUCAGCAAGUAUUAAGAUGUGUUAUAUGGAAAUUUAACAAACUAUCACUUUGAAAAUCCAUUAAUUUUGGGAGGAACUACUGAUCCUGCACCAACAUUUAAACUUGAACAGGAUGUGACGUCAGUGUUGUUUUCUUAACACAGCAGGUUAAAAAUGCUUGCUGUCCGAUCUUUAUAAUGAAACAUUUCACGGCUUGAAGGAAAAUAUAAGAAUGCAGUUUUAUUAUUGUGUAUACAAUUCAUUGCUAGGGACAAAAGCACAAUCAUACUGACGUUUGUAAUGAUUAAGAUAACCUAGUAUUAGCUAGCCAAAUAGCUAACCUCUAACUAGCUAUGCCAUCCAUUGCUAGCUAACGUUAACUAGCCACAUGUGUCCUAUAAACUAGCUAACUAUCCAGCAUCCGACCCGUUUACUUACAGCUGCAUUGGGGUCGGACAUCAUUCCUGUGUAGAUUAAGAAACCACAGAGCCAGUGCUGUAAUAUUUGGGAUAAUGAGACAUUUCGGGGUACAAAACAUUUGUCAUCCCUGGAUUGAUGUACAUUUCCCAAACCAUAUAUUUUUUUCCAGUUCCGCGGUGUCUUAAUUUUUAUUUUACCUUUAUUUAACCAGGCAAGUCAGUUAAGAACAAAUUCUUAUUUUCAAUGACGGCCUAGGAACAGUGGGUUAACUGCCUGUUCAGGGGCAGAACGACAGAUUUGUACCUUAAUCUACACAGGAAUGCUGUCCGACCCUAUGUAAGCAAACGGGUCGGAUCUGCUGGCUAAUAUACUAGCUAGCUGGCCAGAGUAAACUCUAUAUUUGAUGUAAGCUAAUGUCUUCUUUACUCUUCUCGCAGAACAAUGUCUCAGAAGUAUCCCAGGCUCGUCUAAUGUAGUCCAGAAGAACGAUGAAAAUCUGCAUAUGUAACGUUACUAUUAGCUAGCUAUCCAUCUAGGAAGAGUGCACAAAGAAAAACUAUAUGGAUGGAAUAAUUGGGUUUCGGAUGACAUUUGAAAAUGCAAAUAUAAUUUGAUUCUUAUGUACUCUUAGUGCACAAGAUGUGACAUUCCACAUGACGAACAUUAACGUUUUAAACAGGAUUUGAAGCUGUCUCAUUUGUUUACAACGUCUAUGGCAACUAUAUUGUUGGAUGGAUUCACAUAACUUUAUGUACAUUUUUAUCUCCCCAACCAUUGUGGAUGGAGAAUCCAUAUGAACAACCACAGAAGGGCUGCAUUCUGUGACAUCACAGUGGACUUCAAGAAUGUUCAGGGCUGUGGUAAGAAACAGAGGGAGAUUUCCAAAGCCAUAAAGAAAGCUAUGGGAGUCAUGUCUGGACCCACAUUAUGAAAGAUACAAACACCUUCGACAACCAGCACUUGGAGUAACUGUGUCAGCCUGUAUUGGGAACUAGUGUAGAAUAUAUACAGUAAUAAUUGUAUUAAAAUAAUUCUUAAUGUGGAAUAUUGCUCG